rnacentral:rRNA from 1 species
AUUGAACGCUGGCGGCAGGCCUAACACAUGCAAGUCGAGCGAGCGGCGGACGGGUGAGUAAUGUCUGGGAAACUGCCUGAUGGCGGGGGAUAACUACUGGAAACGGUAGCUAAUACCGCAUCCCAUCAGCUGUGCCCAGAUGGGAGUAGCUAGUCGGUGGGGUAACGGCUCACCUAGUCGACGAUCCCUAGCUGGUCUGAGAGGAUGACCAGCGACACUGGAACUGAGACACGGCCCAGACUCCUACGGGAGGCAGCAGUGGGGAAUAUUGCACAAUGGGCGAAAGUCUGAUGCAGCCAUGCCGCGUGUGUGAAGAAGGCCUUCGGGUUGUAAAGCACUUUCAGCGGGGAGGCGUUACCCGAAGAAGAAGCACCGGCUAACUCCGUGCCAGCAGCCGCGGUAAUUC